UUGUUACGAUAUCGUUACGCCUCUUUGUUGUUUCUAGGGUUUUAUUGACUUUUUUAUGAAUUUCGAGAAUAAGACUGUUAGUUCCCGGUAAGUUCGAUUACUUUAUGAUGUUAAUAUGGCUCAUGAAACCAUUAACGAUAAUGGAAUAUGGAUACACAAACUUUUAUUUCAAUCUUUGCAGCCUUUUGAGUUGCUUCCUUCAGCACUUCAAAAUCGAUUGUUGCUUGAAAGAGAUCCCCCUGGAAAUGUCCAGGAACGAUGAUAUUGAAAACUGAACAAAUGUUUGGUGGAGCUCGAGAGAAGUGGCCUGAUAUUAUCCUAGAGGAAGAUGGUUCCAAGGAUGCCUUCCCAUUUGAAGAAAUGAAUCUAGCUGAUAUGUACUGUCAAUAGGCCGAUGUUGUAUUAUGUUUGGGGUAUCAGUUUACAAAUAACUCAUGUAUGCAAGUUGCCUCGAAGUGUCUCCCAGGUGGUGGCAAGGUUGUUAUUGUGAAUCUUCAGAAAACUCCAAAAGACAAGAAAGCAAGUCCGGUGAUCCAUAGAUAUAUAGACAAGGUGCAGUAUGUAAGUAAUCAAAUAAACAGA